rnacentral:rRNA from 1 species
GAGUAAGACCAAGCGGCGGACGGGUGAGUAACGCGUGGGUAACCUGCCCUAUACACAUGGAUAACAUACUGAAAAGUUUACUAAUACAUGAUAAUAUAUAUUUACGGCAUCGUAGAUAUAUCAAAGUGUUAGCGGUAUAGGAUGGACCCGCGUCUGAUUAGCUAGUUGGUGAGAUAACUGCCCACCAAGGCGACGAUCAGUAGCCGACCUGAGAGGGUGAUCGGCCACAUUGGAACUGAGACACGGUCCAAACUCCUACGGGAGGCAGCAGUGGGGAAUAUUGCACAAUGGGCGCAAGCCUGAUGCAGCAACGCCGCGUGAACGAUGAAGGUCUUCGGAUCGUAAAGUUCUGUUGCAGGGGAAGAUAAUGACGGUACCCUGUGAGGAAGCCCCGGCUAACUACGUGCCAGCAGCCGCGGUAAUACGUAGGGGGCUAGCGUUAUCCGGAUUUACUGGGCGUAAAGGGUGCGUAGGUGGUCUUUCAAGUCGGUGGUUAAAGGCUACGGCUCAACCGUAGUUAGCCUCCGAAACUGGAAGACUUGAGUGCAGGAGAGGAAAGUGGAAUUCCCAGUGUAGCGGUGAAAUGCGUAGAUAUUGGGAGGAACACCAGUAGCGAAGGCGGCUUUCUGGACUGCAACUGACACUGAGGCACGAAAGCGUGGGUAGCAAACAGGAUUAGAUACCCUGGUAGUCCACGCUGUAAACGAUGAGUACUAGGUGUCGGGGGUUACCCCCCUCGGUGCCGCAGCUAACGCAUUAAGUACUCCGCCUGGGGAGUACGCACGCAAGUGUGAAACUCAAAGGAAUUGACGGGGACCCGCACAAGUAGCGGAGCAUGUGGUUUAAUUCGAAGCAACGCGAAGAACCUUACCUAAGCUUGACAUCCCUUAGACCGGUGUUUAAUCACACCUUCCCUUCGGGGCUGAGGUGACAGGUGGUGCAUGGUUGUCGUCAGCUCGUGUCGUGAGAUGUUGGGUUAAGUCCCGCAACGAGCGCAACCCUUGUCUUUAGUUGCCAGCAUUCAGUUGGGCACUCCAGAGAGACUGCCAGGGAUAACCUGGAGGAAGGUGGGGAUGACGUCAAAUCAUCAUGCCCCUUAUGCUUAGGGCUACACACGUGCUACAAUGGGUGGUACAGAGGGUUGCCAAACCGUGAGGUGGAGCUAAUCCCUUAAAGCCAUUCUCAGUUCGGAUUGUAGGCUGAAACUCGCCUACAUGAAGCUGGAGUUACUAGUAAUCGCAGAUCAGAAUGCUGCGGUGAAUGCAUUCCCGGGUCU